rnacentral:rRNA from 1 species
GUAGGGAAUAUUGGUCAAUGGACGAAAGUCUGAACCAGCCAUUCCGCGUGCAGGAAGAAGAUUCUAUGGAUUGUAAACUGCUUUUAGCAGAGAAGAAACGCCUUCAUUGAUGAGGGUUUGACGGUAUCUGCGGAAUAAGCACCGGCUAACUCCGUGCCAGCAGCCGCGGUAAUACGGGGGGUGCAAGCGUUAUCCGGAAUCACUGGGUUUAAAGGGUGCGUAGGCGGGAAAUUAAGUCAGUGGUGAAAGUCUGUUGCUUAACGAUAGAAUUGCCGUGGAUACUGAUUUUCUUGAAGUGGGUUGAGGUUAGCGGAAUGUGACAUGUAGCGGUGAAAUGCAUAGAUAUGUCAUGGAACACCAAUUGCGAAGGCAGCUAGCUGGGCCUUGAUUGACGCUGAGGCACGAAAGCGUGGGUAGCGAACAGGAUUAGAAACCCUAGUAGUCC